GCCGGGAUGGCGGAAUUGGUAGACGCAAGGGACUUAAAAUCCCUCGAAGCGUUGCUUCGUGCCGGUUCGAAACCGGCUCCCGGCACCA
rnacentral:tRNA from 3 species